AUUGAACGCUGGCGGCAGGCCUAACACAUGCAAGUCGAACGAAUGGCGGACGGGUGAGUAAUGGAUGAGAAACUGCCUGAUGGAGGGAGAUAACUACUGGAAACGUUGGCUAAUAGCGCAUACCAUCAGAUGUGCCCAGAUGGGAUUAGCUAGUGGGUGGGGUAAAGGCUCACCAAGGCGACGAUCCCUAGCUGGUCUGAGAGGGUGACCAGCCACACUGGAACUGAGACACGGUCCAGACUCCUACGGGAGGCAGCAGUGGGGAAUAUUGCACAAUGGGCGAAAGCCUGAUGCAGCCAUGCCGCGUGUAUGAAGAAGGCCUUCGGGUUGUAAAGUACUUUCAGCGGGGAGGCGUUACCUACAGAAGAAGCACCGGCUAACUCCGUGCCAGCAGCCGCGGUAAUUC
rnacentral:rRNA from 1 species